CCUACGGGUGGCAGCAGUGAGGAAUAUUGGUCAAUGGGCGCAGGCCUGAACCAGCCAAGCCGCGUGAGGGAAGAAUGCCCUAUGGGUUGUAAACCUCUUUUAUAAGGGAAGAAUAAUGGGUACGUGUAGUCGGAUGCCUGUACCUUAUGAAUAAGCAUCGGCUAACUCCGUGCCAGCAGCCGCGGUAAUACGGAGGAUGCGAGCGUUAUCCGGAUUUAUUGGGUUUAAAGGGUGCGCAGGCGGUAUGUUAAGUCAGUGGUAAAACGUCGGGGCUUAACCCGGAUUGGCCAUUGAAACUGGAGUACUAGAGUACAGGAGAGGUAGGCGGAAUACGUGGAGUAGCGGUGAAAUGCGUAGAUAUA
rnacentral:rRNA from 1 species